CGCAAGCCUGACGGAGCAACGCCGCGUGAGGGAGGAAGGCCUGUGGGUUGUAAACCUCUUUUCUCAAGGAAGAAGUUCUGACGGUACUUGAGGAAUCAGCCUCGGCUAACUCCGUGCCAGCAGCCGCGGUAAUACGGAGGAGGCAAGCGUUAUCCGGAAUGAUUGGGCGUAAAGCGUCCGCAGGUGGCAAUGUAAGUCUGCUGUCAAAACCCAGGGCUCAACUCUGGUCAGGCAGUGGAAACUACAUAGCUAGAGUUCGGUAGGGGCAAAGGGAAUUCCCGGUGUAGCGGUGAAAUGCGUAGAGAUCGGGAAGAACAUCGGUGGCGAAAGCGCUCUACUGGACGGCAACUGACACUCAGGGACGAAAGCUAGGGGAGCG
rnacentral:rRNA from 1 species